AUUGAACGCUGGCGGAAUGCUUUACACAUGCAAGUCGAACGGCAGCACGGACUUCGGUCUGGUGGCGAGUGGCGAACGGGUGAGUAAUGUAUCGGAACGUGCCCAGUCGUGGGGGAUAACGUAGUGAAAAUUACGCUAAUACCGCAUACGACCUAUGGAUGAAAGCGGGGGCACGUAAGACCUCGCGCGAUUGGAGCGGCCGAUAUCAGAUUAGGUAGUUGUUGGGGUAAAGGCCCACCAAGCCAACGAUCGGUAGCUGGUCUGAGAGGACGACCAGCGACACUGGAACUGAGACACGGUCCAGACUCCUACGGGAGGCAGCAGUGGGGAAUUUUGGACAAUGGGCGAAAGCCUGAUCCAGUCAUUCCGCGUGCAGGAUGAAGGCCCUCGGGUUGUAAACUGCUUUUGUACAGAACGAAAAGGUUUCUACUAAUACUAGGAGCUCAUGACGGUACUGUAAGAAUAAGCACCGGCUAACUACGUGCCAGCAGCCGCCGUAA
rnacentral:rRNA from 1 species